rnacentral:rRNA from 1 species
CUACGGGCCGCACCAGUGGGGAAUAUUGCACAAUGGAGGAAACUCUGAUGCAGCAACGCCGCGUGGAGGAUGACACUUUUCGGAGUGUAAACUCCUUUUAUAUAGGAAGAAGAUGACGGUACUAUAUGAAUAAGCGCCGGCUAACUCCGUGCCAGCAGCCGCGGUAAUACGGAGGGCGCAAGCGUUACUCGGAAUCACUGGGCGUAAAGAGCGUGUAGGCGGAUUAAAAAGUCAGAAGUGAAAUCCUAUAGCUUAACUAUAGAACUGCUUCUGAAACUCUUAAUCUAGAAUAUGGGAGAGGUAGAUGGAAUUUCUGGUGUAGGGGUAACAUCCGUAGAGAUCAGAAGGAAUACCGAUUGCGAAGGCGAUCUACUAGAACAUUAUUGACGCUGAGACGCGAAAGCGUGGGGAGCAAACAGGAUUAGAUACCCUGGUAGUC